UUGCCGGCACAAUCCAGUCCCAGGAUCACAAUGUGGAAGGACUGGAACGAAGGAAGGCUCGACAGGAUCGGCGUCUGCUCCGACAACCCAUUCCCCAUCGCAGGGGAGGGGCCCGAGGCGAGCUGGGGGGCCCAGUCGCCCUCCGUCGCCGUCUCAAGCUGCCCGCCGCUGCUGGUCUCAGGCUCCUUCCUAGUCACGGUCCCUUCCUGACAACGAGACAAGCGCAGGGUCAGACCUAGAGGACGAUCGCGGGGUCCGUGGCGGGCGGUAGGAAAACCCUGCCGAGAGGCGCCCACCACCGCCUUGACGCAGCUGCUCCUCCGCUACCCCCAGAAGCUCCAGCAAGGCUCCCUCCUACGAUGCAGCAAAGGAGCGCCACUGCCUAUGGCCCAACUGCGCCUCCUCUCUCUUCACCUAACCCCGCACGAUUCCCGCCCCUUUUCACACUGCGCCCCUCUCAUUGGACGGAGACAGCUGCGGUGGGCGGGCAAAGGAGCGGCGCAAAGAAAACGGAGCCCCAAACUCCCUCUUUCCUCGUUGCCCGCACCUCCCAGUGGCCAACCUGAUUUUAACCCCCUCUCCUUUCCCCAUUCGGAACAGCAGGGAAUGGAGUGUGUUGCAGCGUCCAAUCCGUUUAAGCUUUCAAGGGAAAAGGAAGUCGUCUCUUUUGAUCCCCUGCCCACCUUUUGGGGGGGGGUUUGGAGCAGUGAUAAGCACUCCGAUCCAGCCUCCUUUCCUUCAGUUCCCGCCCUUUUCUGACAAGAACGCACGACUUGCCUCUGCCAGCACCAAAGGUCGUCUAGCACCCCCUACUCGAGGCUCUUGGAUUUGAGGGCACUGCCAAGCAGCGCAUCGACUCUCCUCUCUACCAUUCCUCCGCACCUGUUGUGGCCAUGUCGAGGUCCGUCUCUUCAAAUGUCACCCUGGACAGCCGUCGUUUCCUCCCGUCACCAACAAGGUGAAGGGAAGCCAAGGCACCGCGUUCACACGACUUCGUCCCAGAAAUACGAGUGGGGAUUGGGCAAUAAAAGACGAGCCGGCUUCAGCUACGCCACUCUAGCCAUCUACCCCCUUCGCCUUCUCCUUCAGACUGGUGGAACAUCAUCAUUAUACCCGUAGAGCCUUUCCGUUGACUCCCUGACCCCCAGUCGUUUCCUAGCAACCUCAUUCAAAUGACGCCCUCACAGCGCAAAGGACGACAGCCAAUGCCCCGCCCCUCAGCGAUGACACGGCUUGCCCGGAGAGCCCCGCCUCCAAAGGAGUUCCAUGCGCUCGCCGCAUGCUCAGCGCUAGUCCCUCGGCCCAUGUGCUGAGUCACGUGAGCUGUCAGAUGGUUGGCCGCGCGUCCAUCCCUCCAACAGCCGGAGCUUUGGCCACGCCCCCUCGCGCGCCUCUACAACUCCCCGUCCUAAGCCAUUCCCUCAGCUGCGCCGCCUUCAUGACUUUCUGCCUGUUGCCUCUGCGGCUUCUCGUUGCUUUCAUCCGCAUAAGUCGUUUCAGGCGUCAUGGCCGUUGUCUUUCUUUCCUGCCCAGGGCUACUCGCUGAACAACUAGAACUAAACAACUGAACCAACUGUCAUUACCGGGAAAUGUGAGGAAGGAAAAUAUAAAGAUCAGCAACAAACCCAGAAGGAGGGACACUCAAGGAGGAGGUAUAAAACACACCUUAAGUUGACAACCUAGAACCCAGACAUUAUAAUCUGUCCAAUGAAGUGAUUAAUAGUAAAGUGUUAUGUGGGACCGCAAUACUUGUUGGAACACCUCUCCCGAUACGAACCUACCCGUACACUGUGCUCAACAUCAAAGGCCCUCCUCCUUUCAAAGCCCGGAAGGUGACAACGAGAAAAAGGGCCUUCUCAGUGGUGGCCCCCGAACUGUGGAAUACUCUUCCUGAUGAGGUAUGCCUGGUGCCAACAUUAUUAUAUUUUCGGCGCCAGGUAAAAACCUUCCUCUUCUCCCAGGCUUUUUAAUAUUUUGAUAUUCAAUAUUUUAAUACUUUAAUAUUUAAUAUUGUAAUUUUUAACACCUUAACAUC